UGUAACUCUAUAAAAUAGAAAUUUGAAGAAAUUGAAGCAAGUUCAAUUUCUUCAAAAUCUACAUUUUGGUAAAAUCUACAUUUAAACUUUUACAUUUUAGUUUUUAUAAUUAUAUGUCACCAAACACUACAUAAAUGCCUUCAAAUCUUUUCCAGAUUUACCUCAGUGUGCUCUACAAAUAUUUUGUGCACUUCAUAAAAGAUAUUUAUGGCUGGGUGCUGUGGCUCAUGCCUGUAAUGUCAGCACUUUGAGAGGCUGAGGUGGGAGGAUCACUUGAAGCCAGGAGUUCAAGACAAGCCUGGGCAACAUAGCAAGACUCUGUCUCUACAAAAUAAAAGUUAAAAAAAGUUACCUAGGCAUGGUGGUGAUAUAUGCCUGUAGUCCCAUCUAUUUUGGAGGCUGAGUCAGGCUGGAGCCCAGGAAUGUGAGGCUCCAGUGAGCCAUGAUCACACGAAACUCCAACCUAGGCAACAGAGCAAGACCCUGUCUCAAAGAAAGGUAUUCAGGUUCCAUAAUAGCAGAUUACAAGAGCCAAAAUAAUAAUCAUCAAUACCAUUUUUACUCCUAGAUCCAUAUGGUUUGUGAAUACAGGUUUUCAUUCUUUACUGCACUCGUCUGUGCUCUGUCCAACUUUCCAUGAUCUUCUUCCGUACCUCCUUCGCAGCUAAAGCAAAAAAAAAAAAAAAAAAAAAAAAAAAGAGCAUCACAUUUCCUCCUUCCUUCACAUUUCUGGUCUAAUUAUUUUGGAGACAGAGUGAGAAAAUUACACCACAGGCAGGAAUAAUCAGAAAGAACACACUUCAGAGUAUGUAAGUGCUACAUAAACAAAUGCAAAUAAAUGCACAAGUGCCAUGAUGCUUGGGAAAUUUAAGGGAAAAUGCCAUAUUAAUAUGACUCUAAACUUUGAAAUUUCAACAGGUCAAUCAAAUGCAUUUACAUGCAUUUUUGUCAAUGGGAAAAUACCACUUUUCAAGGCAUGGCAAGUAUACGAACUCCGGAAAAUUACUCUCACAGGAUGUCAGAUCACCAAGCCGUGCAGCAAUUGGGAUAAAGACCUAAUACAAAGAAUGCUAUUCUGAGAUCCAAAAGAAAUGAAUCACAGACCCAGUUUGUUUCUUUUCACAUCUUUGUAAUACUGAAUACACCCAAGCCUUCCCAAGUCUUUGGUUACUUGGCGUGUUCAGACUAUGUUGACCACAGUCCUAGAGAGAAAAAACAAGUUUUAUGUUAGUUCCUGACUCCAUUGAAAGAUAUGCCAUUUAAAAUGUCCUAGAAGACCUUUUAAAUAUGACUUUGUAUUUAUUUUAGAAUAAAAUUUAAAAUUAAAAAACA
rnacentral:lncRNA from 13 species